rnacentral:misc_RNA from 1 species
UUGACGAUGUUUUGAAACAAAUUCGAAAAUAUAUAUUACGUAGAUAUGGAAAUUGCAAGGCAUCUACUGCAAACAUACAUCUCAUAGAGAAAAGAAAAAAUUUACCCGAGCUUGUCGUUUCUCGCAAGGGCAGUUACGCAAUUUCUCCAAUUGCUCGUCGAUCAAGUAAAACGCUGUAUAUUUCUGACUCUCCGGGGACAACGGUGAAUCUGGAGAUCCGAAUCCGGAACUUUUGCUGCCACUGCUCUUGAUCGAAGUUCC